rnacentral:rRNA from 1 species
UACGUAGGGGGCAAGCGUUGUCCGGAUUUAUUGGGCGUAAAGAGCUCGUAGGUGGUUCGGUAAGUCGGAUGUGAAAUCUCCAGGCUCAACCUGGAGGGGUCAUUCGAUACUGCCGUGACUAGAGUUCGGUAGGGGAGUGUGGAAUUCCUGGUGGAGCGGUGAAAUGCGCAGAUAUACGGAGGAACACCAGAGGCGAAGGCGGAUCGCUGGGCCAACACUGACGCUGAGACGCGAAAGCUAGGGGAGCAAACGGG